rnacentral:rRNA from 1 species
AGUGAACGCUGGCGGUAGGCCUAACACAUGCAAGUCGAACGGCAGCACAGUAAGAGCUUGCUCUUACGGGUGGCGAGUGGCGGACGGGUGAGGAAUACAUCGGAAUCUACUUUUUCGUGGGGGAUAACGUAGGGAAACUUACGCUAAUACCGCAUUCGACCUACGGGUGAAAGCAGGGGAUCUUCGGACCUUGCGCGAUUGAAUGAGCCGAUGUAGGAUUAGCUAGUUGGCGGGGUAAAGGCCCACCAAGGCGACGAUCCGUAGCUGGUCUGAGAGGAUGAUCAGCCACACUGGAACUGAGAAACGGUCCAGACUCCUACGGGAGGAAGCAGUGGGGAAUAUUGGACAAUGGGCGCAAGCCUGAUCCAGCCAUACCGCGUGGGUGAAGAAGGCCUUCGGGUUGUAAAGCCCUUUUGUUGGGAAAGAAAAGCAGCAGGUUAAUACCCCGCUGUUCUGACGGUACCCAAAGAAUAAGCACCGGCUAACUUCGUG